UCAAAUGAAUUGACGGGGAGCACCACAACGGGUGGAGCUUGCGGUUUAAUUGGAUUCAACGCCGGAAUCUUACCGGGACCGACAGCAAUAUGAAGGCCAGGCUGAAGACUUUGCCGGAUUAGCUGAGAGGUGGUGCAUGGCCGUCGUCAGUUCGUACUGUGAAGCAUCCUGUUAAGUCAGGCAACGAGCGAGACCCACGCCCACAGUUGCCAGCGUACUCUCCGGAGUGACGGGUACACUGUGGGGACCGCCGCUGCUAAAGCGGAGGAAGGAAUGGGCAACGGUAGGUCAGUAUGCCCCGAAUAUCCCGGGCUACACGCGAGCUACAAUGGUUGGUACAAUGGGUAUCUACCCCGAAAGGGGACGGAAAUCUCCUAAAACCAAUCUUAGUUCGGAUUGAGGGCUGCAACUCGCCCUCAUGAAGCUGGAAUCCGUAGUAAUCGCGUUUCAACAGAACGCGGUGAAUACGUCCCUGCUCCUU
rnacentral:rRNA from 1 species